AUUGAACGCUGGCGGCAGGCCUAACACAUGCAAGUCGAACGAGUGGCGGACGGGUGAGUAAUGUCUGGGAAACUGCCUGAUGGAGGGGGAUAACUACUGGAAACGGUAGCUAAUACCGCAUACCAUCAGAUGUGCCCAGAUGGGAUUAGCUGGUUGGUGGGGUAACGGCUCACCAAGGCGACGAUCCCUAGCUGGUCUGAGAGGAUGACGAGCCAACCUGGAACGGAUACACGGUCCAGACUCCUACGGGAGGAAGCAGUGGGGAAUAUUGGACAAUGGGCGAAAGCCUGAUGCAGCAAGGCCGCGUGUAUGAAGAAGGCCUUCGGGGUGUAAAGUACUUUCAGCGGGGAGGCGUUACCCGCAGAAGAAGCACCGGCGAACUCCGUGCCAGCAGCCGCGGUAAUUC
rnacentral:rRNA from 1 species